GAAGAUAUAGCUCAGUGGUAGAGUGCAUGCCUCACACGCAUGAGGUCAUGGGUUCAAUCUCCAGCACCUCCA
rnacentral:tRNA from 1 species